rnacentral:rRNA from 1 species
UACGUAGGGUGCGAGCGUUAAUCGGAAUACUGGGCGUAAAGCGUGCGCAGGCGGUGAUGUAAGACAGUUGUGAAAUCCCCGGGCUCAACCUGGGAACUGCAUCUGUGACUGCAUCGCUGGAGUGCGGCAGAGGGGGAUGGAAUUCCGCGUGUAGCAGUGAAAUGCGUAGAUAUGCGGAGGAACACCGAUGGCGAAGGCAAUCCCCUGGGCCUGCACUGACGCUCAUGCACGAAAGCGUGGGGAGC